rnacentral:rRNA from 1 species
GAUGAACGCUGGCGGCGUGCCUAAUACAUGCAAGUCGAGCGAACGGACGAGGAGCUUGCUCCUCUGAUGUUAGCGGCGGACGGGUGAGUAACACGUGGAUAACCUACCUAUAAGACUGGGAUAACUUCGGGAAACCGGAGCUAAUACCGGAUAAUAUUUUGAACCGCAUGGUUCAAUAGUGAAAGACGGUCUUGCUGUCACUUAUAGAUGGAUCCGCGCUGCAUUAGCUAGUUGGUAAGGUAACGGCUUACCAAGGCAACGAUGCAUAGCCGACCUGAGAGGGUGAUCGGCCAAACCGGAACUGAGACACCGUUCCGACUCCUAAGGGGGGCCGCAGUAGGGAAUUCUACGCAAAGGGGGGAAGCCCUGAGGAGGAACGGCGGCUGAGGUAAUAAGGUUCUUCGGUUGGUAAAACUCUUUUAUAGGGAAAAAACAAUUGUGUAGUUAAUGAGGCACGCCUGAACGUAACCUAAUAGAAAGGCAAGGCUAAAUUACUG